UGACUUGGCGGCGGGGGGAAUGCGCGGCUACCAUGCAGUCGAACGCUGAAGCUUGGUGCUUGCACUGGGUGGAUGAGUGGCGAACGGGUGAAAAAAACGUGAGUAACCUGCCCUUGACUCUGGGAUAAGCCUGGGAAACUGGGUCUAAUACUGGAUAUGACAUGUCACCGCAUGGUGGUGUGUGGAAAGGGUUUUACUGGUUUUGGAUGGGCUCACGGCCUAUCAGCUUGUUGGUGGGGUAAUGGCUCACCAAGGCGACGACGGGUAGCCGGCCUGAGAGGGUGACCGGCCACACUGGGACUGAGACACGGCCCAGACUCCUACGGGAGGCAGCAGUGGGGAAUAUUGCACAAUGGGCGGAAGCCUGAUGCAGCGACGCCGCGUGAGGGAUGACGGCCUUCGGGUUGUAAACCUCUUUCAGCACGGAAGAAGCGAAAGUGACGGUACGUGCAGAAGAAGCGCCGGCUAACUACGUGCCAGCAGCCGCGGUAAUACGUAGGGCGCAAGCGUUGUCCGGAAUUAUUGGGCGUAAAGAGCUCGUAGGCGGUUUGUCGCGUCUGCUGUGAAAGCCCGGGGCUUAACCCCGGGUGUGCAGUGGGUACGGGCAGACUUGAGUGCAGUAGGGGAGACUGGAAUUCCUGGUGUAGCGGUGAAAUGCGCAGAUAUCAGGAGGAACACCGAUGGCGAAGGCAGGUCUCUGGGCUGUUUCUGACGCUG
rnacentral:rRNA from 1 species